rnacentral:rRNA from 1 species
AUUGAACGCUGGCGGCAGGCUUAACACAUGCAAGUCGAGCUAGCGGCGGACGGGUGAGUAAUGUCUGGGAAACUGCCUGUUGGAGGGGGAUAACUACUGUAAACGGUAGCUAAUACCGCAUACCAUCAGAUGUGCUCAUAUGGGAUUGGCUAGUAGGUGGGGUAAUGGCUCAACUAGGCGACUAUCCCUAGCUGGUCUGACAGGAUGACCAGCCACACGGUGACUGAGACACGCUCCAGACUCCUACGGGAGGGAGCAGUGGGGAAUAUGGCGCAAUGGGCGCAAGCCAGAUGCAGCCAGGCCGCGUGUGUGAAGAAGGCCUUCGGGUUGUAAAGCACUUUCAGCGAGGAGGCGUUACUCGCAGAAGAAGUACCGGCUAACUCCGUGCCAGCAGCCGCGGUAAUAC